GGUGGAAGCCGGGGGCGGCGGCAGCGGCGGCGGCGGCGGCGGGAGACCCGGGGCGGGCCUGGGGCGGGGGGGGGCGGGGGGGGGGGGGGGGCGGGGGGGGGGGGGGGGGGGGGCGGGGGAGGCGGGGUGGGGGGGACCCGCGCGCCCCCCCCACCGGUGUGCGCGGCUCCCCUGCGCUCAGGGGGCGGGGCUUCCGAGCCAGCAGGUGGAGAGAUCCGCCACUCCGCUCCUCGAGCUGGUCCCCUCCACCCUGUCUGUUCCUCCGUUUGAAAUCCCCCUUGCCUGACGCCCGGGAAGCAGCUUUCCGCCGGGGUGGGUGGGCGGUGGAGGCGGGGGGGAGUUUCGUCCUGCUCCGAGUGCCUUAAGGCAAAGCCGUUCUAGCGGACCGGGCCAUCGCUGACAGGUCACCCUGGCCUCCCCUCCCCUCCGCGAGCCCUCCUGGGACCCGGUGCAGAGCCAGCUCAGCAGAUCCCCUCGCCUGCCACCCCCUCUGCUUCUCCUCGGCUCUCCCCCCUCCUAGCCCUCUUCGCCUGCCGCCUUCUAAGCUCCCACCAGGGCAAUCGAUGGAUGCUGCAGAGAAAUAGAAAGUGAUACGGGGGCAGAAGAUCAGAAGCGUUCACAUGGGACGGACCCACAGACACGGAAGAGCACAGACCUCUAGCUUGUUUCGAAAGCACGGGACUUUUGCUAGGGUGAUCACAUACACGCAGACAGAUACACGCAGACACCCGAAAACCAAGUUUGGGGCUCGUCCAUCCCACUUUCCCCACUGCCCAAGAGCCGAUCUGCUUACAACUUCGUUAAACUAGAGAUCGGGAAAGCGCCGAGAGACGCUGGGGGAGCUCCAGGUCCAGGCAGCAUCCCCGCACCCCAGGCCUCCCCCACCCGUCACCCCAAGUCCCGCCGCUGCAGCCCCGAACUGAGGAGCCCCCUACCUGGCCGGCCGGCUUGGCGCAGGAGCGGUGCAGAGUCGGCGGAGAGCCCGAGUGGGAAUGCGGCAGGUCGCCUUUGCGGUACCCGGGCGCGAGCUGCGGCCGCCGCAGCAUCCGAGGGGCGCCGGGGCCAACGCGCCGCCCUUGCUCCUCGUCCUGGGUUCCUUCAGCUGACCAGUCGCUUUAUUGGGCAGGAGUUGAAGUUUUCUUGCCAUCAGAUUAUUUUGAAAUACUGAGAAUGCGGCUUGUGGGAAACCAAAAGCUCCGUGGGCUCAUGGACGUGUCUGCCAACUUGGGGCUAAGUGUCAUGAAUCUGAGAAGCAAGUUGCAUGCCCACCUCCCACCUACGUCACUCCUCCCGAAGCCUCUUUUUCCGGCCUAAUGCCUCCACUGGGCCACUUGCAAGUCUUGCCACUGCUUAGGGAAAGGGUCUGCACCCGGGCGCAGGGCAGCAAAGGCCGG
rnacentral:lncRNA from 1 species